rnacentral:rRNA from 1 species
GUAGGUGGCAAGCGUUGUCCGGAAUUAUUGGGCGUAAAGCGCGCGCAGGCGGUUCUUUAAGUCUGAUGUGAAAGCCCACGGCUCAACCGUGGAGGGUCAUUGGAAACUGGAGAACUUGAGUACAGAAGAGGAAAGCGGAAUUCCACGUGUAGCGGUGAAAUGCGUAGAGAUGUGGAGGAACACCAGUGGCGAAGGCGGCUUUCUGGUCUGUAACUGACGCUGAGGCGCGAAAGCGUGGGGAGCAAACAGGGAUUAGAUACCCUGGUAGUCCACGCCGUAAACGAUGAGUGCUAAGUGUUAGGGGGGUUUCCGCCCCCUUAGUGCUGCAGCUAACGCAUUAAGCACUCCGCCUGGGGAGUACGGCCCGCAAGGCUG